AUGCAAGUCGAACGGCAGCACGGGGGGCAACCCUGGUGGCGAGUGGCAACGGGUGAGUAACGCGUGGGAAUCUGCCCUGGAGUGGGGAACAACAGUUGGAAACGACUGCUAAUACCGCAUACGCCCUGAGGGGGAAAGGCCUCGGCCGCUCUUGGAUGAUCCCGCGUCUGAUUAGCUUGUUGGUGGGGUAACGGCCUACCAAGGCGACGAUCAGUAGCUGGUCUGAGAGGACGAUCAGCCACACUGGGACUGAGACACGGCCCCAGACUCC
rnacentral:rRNA from 1 species